AUUGAACGCUGGCGGUAGGCUUAACACAUGCAAGUCGUGCGAGAAAGUACCUUCGGGUGCGAGUAGAGCGGCGGACGGGUGAGUAACGCGUAGGAAUCUACCUAGUAGAAGGGGAUAGCCCGGGGAAACUCGGAUUAAUACCGUAUACCUCCUUAGGGAGAAAGAGGGCUUAGCUUUGAUGCUCUCGCUAUUAGAUGAGCCUGCGUAAGAUUAGCUUGUUGGUGAGGUAAUGGCUCACCAAGGCGACGAUCUUUAGCUGGUCUGAGAGGACGAUCAGCCACAUUGGGACUGAGACACGGCCCAGACUCCUACGGGAGGCAGCAGUGGGGAAUAUUGGACAAUGGGCGCAAGCCUGAUCCAGCCAUACCGCGUGUGUGAAGAAGGCCUUCGGGUUGUAAAGCACUUUAAGCAGGGAGAAAAAGUUAUAAGUUAAUACCUUAUAACCGUGAUGUUACCUGCAGAAUAAGCACCGGCUAAUUCCGUGCCAGCCGCCGCGGUAACAC
rnacentral:rRNA from 1 species